UACAGAGGGGGCAAGCGUUGUUCGGAAUUACUGGGCGUAAAGGGCGCGUAGGCGGCCUUCUAAGUCGAACGUGAAAUCCCCGGGCUCAACCCGGGAACUGCGUCCGAUACUGGAAGGCUUGAAUCCGGGAGAGGGAUGCGGAAUUCCAGGUGUAGCGGUGAAAUGCGUAGAUAUCUGGAGGAACACCGGUGGCGAAGGCGGCAUCCUGGACCGGUAUUGACGCUGAGGCGCGAAAGCGUGGGGAGCAAACAGG
rnacentral:rRNA from 1 species